GCUUUGUAUCAGUCAUUCUACUACUGUAUAGCCUGGUUGUUGUUAUUAAAUGGUGCUUUGUAUCAGUCAUUCUACUACUGUAUAGCCUGGUUGUUGUUAUUAAAUGGUGCUUUGUAUCAGUCAUUCUACUACUGUAUAGCCUGGUUGUUGUUAUUAAAUGGUGCUUUGUAUCAGUCAUUCUACUACUGUAUAGCCUGGUUGUUGUUGUUGUUAUUAAAUGGUGCUUUGUAUCAGUCAUUCUACUACUGUAUAGCCUGGUUGUUGUUAUUAAAUGGUGCUUUGUAUCAGUCAUUCUACUACUGUAUAGCCUGGUUGUUAGUGUUGUUAUUAAAUGGUGCUUUGUAUCAGUCAUUCUACUACUGUAUAGCCUGGUUGUUAGUGUUGUUAUUAAAUGGUGCUUUGUAUCAGUCAUUCUACUACUGUAUAGCCUGGUUGUUGUUAUUAAAUGGUGCUUUGUAUCAGUCAUUCUACUACUGUAUAGCCUGGUUGUUAGUGUUGUUAUUAAAUGGUGCUUUGUAUCAGUCAUUCUACUACUGUAUAGCCUGGUUGUUAGUGUUGUUAUUAAAUGGUGCUUUGUAUCAGUCAUUCUACUACUGU